GAGAGGAAGAAAAGUCCGUUUUUUUUCCAAGUGGAAAGCGUGGUUGCUUUAUUCAGUCGGAUUGUACGGUGGAAAUAAACUAGCUGGAAUUUGUUGUUCACCAGAAAGGAGUUUUGUUACUGCUCGGAUUCUUCUGGUUGUGCUACAACGCUGCACCAUCGCCAUUUUGAAGCUCCAGGAGAGCCCAUUUUGUUGGUUACUUUGGUCAGGUUUUUUACUUGGGAGUACAGUUCAGUGAUGAUCCAGUCCAAAGAUGGCGAGCCACCCCUCCAGGAUCCUUGAGAUAAUUGUUUUAAGAAGAGAACUAAAUUCUUUGGACGAGCCGUGAACUGUACCAAUUCUACUUAAGUGGAUCCAUGCCACACACCUUUUUAAUUUUGUCCAGCUGGAGAAGUACAUCAGCAGCUUAGUAGUGGGACACACAUCUUCUUUCAGCACAGCUGCACACAUCAGGCCCUCCCCUUUUAUUUCUGGGUCAGCUUCCAAAUGGACAGAUACACAAUUCUUGCCUACAGGCCAGUGAACG
ensembl:lncRNA